CCUACGGGAGGCAGCAGUGGGGAAUAUUGCACAAUGGGGGAAACCCUGAUGCAGCGACGCCGCGUGAGUGAAGAAGGAAUUCGUUAUGUAAAGCUCUAUCAGCAGGGAAGAAAAUGACGGUACCUGAGUAAGAAGCCCCGGCUAACUACGGGACAGCAGCGGCGGUAAUACGUAGGGGGCAAGCGUUAUCCGGAUUUACUGGGUGUAAAGGGGGCGUAGACGGCAGUGCAAGUCUGGAGUGAAAGGCGGGGGCUCAACCCACGGACUGCUCUGGAAACUGUACGGCUGGAGUGCAGGAGAGGCAAGUGGAAUGCCUGGUGUAGCGGUGAAAUGCGUAGAUAUUAGGCGGAACACCAGUGGCGAAGGCGGCUUACUGGACUGUAACUGACGUUGAGGCUCGAAAGCGUGGGGAGCAAACAGGAUUAGAUACCCUUGUAGUC
rnacentral:rRNA from 1 species